UACGGAGGGUGCGAGCGUUAUCCGGAUUCACUGGGUUUAAAGGGUGCGUAGGUGGGUUGGUAAGUCAGUGGUGAAAUCUCCGGGCUUAACCUGGAAACUGCCAUUGAUACUAUCAAUCUUGAAUACCUUGGAGGUGAGCGGAAUAUGUCAUGUAGCGGUGAAAUGCUUAGAUAUGACAUAGAACACCAAUUGCGAAGGCAGCUCACUACACGGUCAUUGACACUGAGGCACGAAAGCGUGGGGAUCAAACAGG
rnacentral:rRNA from 1 species